AUCCUUGGUUCAUAAACGUGAUGAGUGGGUGUUUGUGCCCUAUGGGUGAGGUGUGUCUAACUCAAGUCUUACUACAACGUGGGCACAGUACUCAUCUGAUG